GCAGCUCAGUGGUAGAGCAUUUCCGACCGCAGAUCGAGAGGUCCCCGGUUCAAACUCGGUUGCC